rfam:Solanum tuberosum cultivar DM 1-3 516 R44 scf00008_130, whole genome shotgun sequence.
AUAUUUACCUGGACGAGAUCAAUGGGUGAUCAAUAAGACUUGUGGCUUAGGCUGGUGACUUUUAUUGCACUUUAAAGGGUUCUAGCCUAAGGUCGGCCCAAGUGGUCGAGCCUACGUCAUAAUUUGUGAAAGAUUCGCGCGGCCCCUGCCCAAAUC